UUCGAGAGGUUCCCCAGGCAGAGAGGAAGAAAAAGGAGGAACUGGAGCAUCGAGCAAGCAGCUUGCAGGAACCAGUACUGGGGAAGCAAUGAGGGCUGGGAGGGUGAGCACAGAGAGAGAGAUGGGGUCAGGGCAGGAAAAGUGGGCAAAGGCCAGGGUCAGAACCUGGGCUGCAACCUUAGGCAGCUGGGAGUCAGCCAAAGAUGCUAAGUGGGACUGGGGUGAUUAAAUUCAUACCCACCAAAGUCAUUAUUCCAGCAGAGGGAAAAGCAGGAGAUGCUGGGAAAGAGGAGAGACCAGCCAGGAAGAUGUAACUAUAGCCCCAUGGUAAUAAUGGGCCUCUGAGUUCUGAAACAGCCAGCAGAGGAGAAUGACAGGGAGGGGCAGUGAAGGAGGUGGCGGAUCCUCAGGAAACACAGGGGAUCUGCUGUCUAUAAACUGCCAGAUGUCAGGUACCUGGUUCAUCAUCUUCAUCUUCAUGCACGUCAACAGCCACAUCACUGACUUUCCAACCAACCUUCCAGCCUUACUGACCCUCACUCCUCGCCUCUAAUGGCCCUAAAUUCCAUCUGGAAUCGGACCUUAAAGUGAAGUGAAAUGCAGCCUGUAACUCAGAGAGUGGCAGGUUGUCUCCUCUGAACCGGUGUCAGGUGCUACUUUCUCCACAACCCUAGGGCACUCAGCAGCCCCAGAAUCUGCAGGCUUAGCCCUGCCAUCCGGAGAGCAGUUCCUGCUGCUGCUCAGGGGGGCCACGCAGCCCAAGACAAGCCUGGACUCCCUCACAGUCUCUGCACUGUCAGGGUCCCCUAAGCUCUGCCAGGUCUCCCUAGUCGGAAUGCAACAUGUCUGUCUCCAUGUUCCGAAUUGCAUCCAGUCCACCCGCAGGGCCUGGAGCCCUGCCCAGAGGUCCAGGUGGAAGGCAUGAUGCCCUGUGCAGUCCUGCUCAGACCCCUUCUCAGGAGGUGAGACUCUGGCCUACACAUCCAGCAAGGUGAUAAACAGAUCAGGCGGAACAAGAAUGUCAUUGCCUCGUAGUCCACCUGCAGGUACUGGAAACUGCUACCAUUGCCCAGACUAGUGGAAUAGAUUUCACCUUCGAAAGCGACCCUGGCCUGGAUCCUGCUGCUUCUGCCACAUCUAUUUCCAGCUUCCUCUUCCUCCUGGCCUCCUUCUGAAGUCUCAGCAUGAUGUCCUGCCAAGUCACACAGGUGAAGAUAUAAGUUUAGAAAGGGGAUAUAACUUUCCAUGGUCAAAAGCAAAUAAACUGGACAUCUCAGCCAGCCCAUCUGCUUGGAGCCCUCUGCCUUAAAGCCACAUCACUCUCUGAGAUGAAACACCAGCCAGACAGGGUGAAGACAGGAGCGAGCUCCAGGUUUACAAGUGAUAGGAUUCCUGUGGAUUUCUAGUUCAGACUGAAAAUCCAUGAAAUUUAGAAUAAUAUCGGGAUAGUUUACAGACAUGUGAAGUUCUCCUUUUACUGUGUAUGUUUUACUUACAAUGCAAUACCUAAUAUUUCCAUUGUGACAUCAGCAAAUAUCCUUAGCCCUGUUUGCCAUUGCACCACAGAGCUUUUCGUGCAAACUAACAUUACAGUAUGAUACAAAGAAAACUGUUUCUUCUUAAGAUAUUUACAAUGUGAUCGGGUUUAUUUAAAUAAAGUCCAUUUUAUAC